AAUACUAGGGAAGCUAGCCUUACUCUGGGUUGGCAAUUCAGACUGGCGUUCUGAAAAAGGUUAGAAUAGGACACAUUUUAAAACUGCAGGCACCACAGGACACUGGAAAGACCAGCUACUAACUGGAGACAGCUGUCUGCAGUACAUAGAAAAAACGGCCAGUCAGAAUAUGUAUAUUUUUUUCAAAACACCUACAAAUCAAUUUAAAAAAAUAGGAAAAAGUGGGCUAAUGCCUUCAACAGGCAUUUUAUUUUAAAAAAAGCUUGAAUGGCCAAUAAACAUCUGAAAAGUUGUUCAAUCCUAUUAGGAACCAGGGAAAAAUCAAUUAAAACACAAGAUUCGAUGACACACCAGAGGGGCAAAUAUUAACAAGCUUGACCUUAUCAGAUGCAGAGGAGGACGGCAGCAAUCAAUUCAAGUGAAAACUCAAAAUGAAUUUAUACGCCAUAUUAGCAAGGAUCCAGUACUGAAGCUAUGUUUUCCAUAGAAGAUACUAAGCUGUUAGCAGUUACAAAGACCUUAAAAUUUAAGUGGGGUACCUCAAGAAAAAAAAGGUCUAACGCUACCACACAAGAAGGCCCGAACCACCGAUUCCUCCUUACCAGCCAAGGCUAGCUGAAGCCCACUAAUGUCCACAGACUGGCCCAUGUUUCCGACGUCCAUCAACGCAAUCUGUCGAGGUGUCUUUUUGAAGAGUUCUCUCGGGGGUGCCAGCAUCAGCUGGGAAAGAAAAAACUUUUCUGGUGGAGUUAUAGGAGGUAAAAAUCCUGUAAAUAAAAAUGUAUAACGAUUUC